GCUUAAUACAUGCAAGUCGAGGGGCAGCAUGGCCGACAUUAGUUGGCUGAUGGCGACCGGCGGACGGGUGAGUAACGCGUACGGACCUGCCUUUUACUACGGGAUAGUGUUGGGAAACUGGCAGUAAUACCGUAUGGUCCCGCCUUGUGCGGGUGAAGUUACGGCGGUAGAAGAUGGCUGUGCGUCUGAUUAGCUAGUUGGUACGGUAGUGGCGUACCAAGGCGACGAUCAGUAGGGGGCGUGAGAGCGUGAUCCCCCACACGGGUACUGAGACACGGACCCGACUCCUACGGGAGGCAGCAGUAAGGAAUAUUGGACAAUGCCCGGAAGGGUGAUCCAGCCAUUCCGCGUGGAGGAAGACGGCCUUAUGGGUUGUAAACUCCUUUUAGAUGGGAAGAAACCCUGGAUAUAUAUCUGGGCUGACGGUACCAUCAGAAUAAGCACCGGCUAACUCCGUGCCAGCAGCCGCGGUAAUACGGAGGGUGCAAGCGUAAUCCGGAAUCACUGGGUUUAAAGGGUGCGUAGGCGGGUUAAAUAAGUCAGAGGUGAAAUUGCUACAGCUUAACUGUAGAAUUGCCUUUGAUACUGUUUAACUUGAAUCGAGAUGAGGUAGGCGGAAUGUUGACAAGUAGCGGUGAAAUGGAUAGAUAUGUCAUA
rnacentral:rRNA from 1 species